rnacentral:rRNA from 1 species
AGCAGUAGCCGCGGGAAUACGUAGGUCCCGAGCGUUGUCCGGAUUUAUUGGGCGUAAAGCGAGCGCAGGCGGUUAGAUAAGUCUGAAGUUAAAGGCUGUGGCUUAACCAUAGUACGCUUUGGAAACUGUUUAACUUAAGUGCAAGAGGGGAGAGUGGAAUUCCAUGUGUAGCGGUGAAAUGCGUAGAUAUAUGGAGGAACACCGGUGGCGAAAGCGGCUCUCUGGCUUGUAACUGACGCUGAGGCUCGAAAGCGUGGGGAGCAAACAGGAUUAGAUACCCCUGUAGUCCCUGUCUCUUAUACA